GACGAACGCUGGCGGCGUGCUUAACACAUGCAAGUCGAACGGAAAGGCCCUGCUUGCAGGGUACUCGCGUGGCGAACGGGUGAGUAACACAUGGGUGAUCUGCCCUGCACUUCGGGAUAAGCUUGGUAAACUGGGUCUAAUACCGGCUAGGAGCCAUCUUUAGCGUGGUGGUUGGAAAGUUUUUUCGGGGUAGGAUGAGCUCGCUGCCUAUCAGCUUGUUGGUGGGGUAAUGGCCUACCAAGGCGGCGACGGGUAGCCGGCCUGAGAGGGUGUACGGCCACAUUGGGACUGAGAGACGGCCCAGACUCCGACGGGAGGCAGCAGUGGGGAAUAUUGCACAAUGGGCGCAAGCCUGAUGCAGCGACGCCGCGGGGGGGAUGAAGGCCUUCGGGUUGUAAACUCCUUUCGCUAGGGAAGAAGCUUUUUUGUGACGGUACCUAGAUAAGAAGCACCGGCUAACUACGUG
rnacentral:rRNA from 1 species